AUUGAACGCUGGCGGCAUGCUUUACACAUGCAAGUCGAACGGUAACAGGUUAAGCUGACGAGUGGCGAACGGGUGAGUAAUGCAUCGGAACGUGCCCGGUCGUGGGGGAUAACGCAGCGAAAGCUGCGCUAAUACCGCAUACGAUCUGAGGAUGAAAGCGGGGGACGGUAAGGCCUCGCGCGAUCGGAGCGGCCGAUGUCAGAUUAGGUAGUUGGUGGGGUAAAGGCUCCCCAAGCCAACGAUCUGUAGCUGGUCUGAGAGGACGACCAGCCACACUGGGACUGAGACACGGCCCAGACUCCUACGGGAGGCAGCAGUGGGGAAUUUUGGACAAUGGGCGAAAGCCUGAUCCAGCAAUGCCGCGUGCAGGAAGAAGGCCUUCGGGUUGUAAACUGCUUUUGUACGGAGCGAAAAGGUCUCCUCUAAUACAGGGGGCUCAUGACGGUACCGUAAGAAUAAGCACCGGCUAACUACGUGCCAGCCGCCGCGGUAA
rnacentral:rRNA from 1 species